GACGAACGCUGGCGGCGUGCUUAACACAUGCAAGUCGAACGGAAAGGCCCUGCUUGCAGGGUACUCGAGUGGCGAACGGGUGAGUAACACGUGGGUGAUCUGCCCUGCACUUCGGGAUAAGCCUGGGAAACUGGGUCUAAUACCGGAUAGGAGCCAGUUUUAGUGUGAUGGUUGGAAAGUUUUUUCGGUGUAGGAUGAGCUCGCGGCCUAUCAGCUUGUUGGUGGGGUAAUGGCCUACCAAGGCGGCGACGGGUAGCCGGCCUGAGAGGGUGGACGGCCACAUUGGGACUGAGAGACGGCCCAGAUUCCUACGGGAGGCAGCAGUGGGGAAUAUUGCACAAUGGGCGCAAGCCUGAUGCAGCGACGCCGCGUGGGGGAUGACGGCCUUCGGGUUGUAAACUCCCUUCGCUAGGGACGAAGCUUUUUGUGACGGUACCUAGAUAAGAAGCACCGGCUAACUACGUG
rnacentral:rRNA from 1 species